AGCGAACGCUGGCGGCAGGCCUAACACAUGCAAGUCGAACGAAGUCUUCGGACUUAGUGGCGGACGGGUGAGUAACACGUGGGAACGUGCCUUUAGGUUCGGAAUAACUCAGGGAAACUUGUGCUAAUACCGAAUGUGCCCUUCGGGGGAAAGAUUUAUCGCCUUUAGAGCGGCCCGCGUCUGAUUAGCUAGUUGGUGAGGUAAAGGCUCACCAAGGCUACGAUCAGUAGCUGGUCUGAGAGGAUGACCAGCCACAUUGGGACUGAGACACGGCCCAAACUCCUACGGGAGGCAGCAGUGGGGAAUUUUGCGCAAUGGGCGAAAGCCUGACGCAGCCGUGCCGCGUGGAUGAUGAAGGUCUUAGGAUUGUAAAAUCCUUUCACCGGUGAAGAUAAUGACUGUAGCCGGAGAAGAAGCCCCGGCUAACUUCGUGCCAGCAGCCGCGGUAAAAC
rnacentral:rRNA from 1 species